CUUCAAGCCCGGGCACGAAGCGACGCACACGCACGAACGACUGCUGCGUUUUUCAGUUUCUGUGUUUACUCUUCAAUUGAUUACCGGCGUUUUAAGGCACCAUUCGACGCACCGUUUCUUCCUACUUAAGCUCCAUUCCCUCCUCUUCAUUUCCCCCCAAACGGCACGCCUAGAGAGCCCCCAGGCUGCUCGAAUUUUGCCUCGCAUGUCCGCAGUACCGUCGCGGUAAAUCGUCGAUUGCGCGACGACGCUAUAAUCGACUCUAGUCUCCGGCGAGCGACUUCCGGCGAACUACUGCAGAUCGACGUCCGCGACUUCGUAAACGAGUUUCCCUUGUCAAUCCGAGCUCCAUCGUCUGCCCCACCAUCGCCAAGGAGCACCGGAACGUCAAGGCCGGCGACAUCAGACGACAUUGCUGUGUGCGUCCCAUUGCGACUGUGACAGCUGCAACCUUUGUGACUGCGAAGAUUGCAACUCCUCCCACUGAAAAAGGCA